CCUAGGUUCUAUCACUUUCAGCUGUGUAGCUUUCAGUAAUUUAUCUUCUCUCAUCCUCGGUUUCCUCCUCUGCCAAAUGGGGUAAUAUCAGCAUCUACCUCAGAGGUAUGAUACUUUGGCCACCUGAUGCGAAGAGCCAACUCAUUGGAAAAGACCCUGAUUCUGGGAAAGAUUGAAGGCAAAAGGAGAAGAGGGUGUGGGUAGCAGAGGAUGAGAUGGUUAGAUAGCACCACCGACUCAAUGAACAUGAGUUUGAGCAAACUCUGGGAGAUGGUGAAGGACAGGGAAGCCUGGCGUGCUGCAGUCCAUGGGGUCACAGAGAGCCAAACACAACUUAGCAACUGAACAACAGCAACAGAGGGUAUUUCAGGACAGAGAACACCCUGUAGAAGCCAUGCAUCUGCUCCUCCAGGACCUCCACUGUACUGCGGUUGCUUAGGUCCCUCUCUGCCCGGUCCAGCCAGGUGACAUUGGGCAUGAGCAAAUUCGAGAUUUUCUGUGCCCUCCACAAAGAAGAAACGACAGGGAAGAGUGACAUCAGUGGGAGGAUGGGCCCGUAACUCUCCUACAGACACUGAGGACAGCAAAGAAGAAAUGAAGCUAGUCAAGCAUUUAUAAAGCCCAGCGAACACUGCAGCACAUAGGAUUUGACAACAGAUCAAAUAAAUCACUCUAGCUAUUUCAAGCACAAAGGAGUUUGGUACAGAGAAUUAGACAUUUAUAAAAUCAUUGGAAGGCUAGAGAAAUGAGUCCAAAGAAGGGAAUGAACUGAGACUUUGGUCCUUUUUUGCUUUAGACUCUGAACUGACUUCCGAUUUCAGAACUAAAACAUAGGCUCUUUUUGAGUCACGGGCAUUCAGACUUGGACGGGAAAUAUACCAUGGACUUUCCAGAAUCUCCAGCUUAGCCACUGCAGAUCUGGGGACUUCUUACCUCCAUAAUCACUUGAUCUCUUCAUACAGAUUUUAUGUGUUCUGUUCCUCUGGAG
ensembl:lncRNA